CCCCCCUUUUUUUUAAUUUAUUUUCUGUUUAUCCCAGCAAUUAAAAUCAUAUAUAACACAAUUAAAAUCAUAUUUAACAGGACAGCUCAUUUCAAAUAGCACAGCACAUACAACCCAUAGACGCGACCAUUUCACAUCACAAGCAUACAUCUCACAAGUCUGAAACAUCACAUAUAUAUGUCACGACAUAAUAUUACAAGUGUUCGUCUCACAAGAUUGCAACAUAAUACAACUGUUCAUGAAAAGAAAGAAGAGAGUUACUCGGGAACCUUCUAUAUCCACCAUCCAU
rnacentral:lncRNA from 1 species